rnacentral:rRNA from 1 species
AUGGACCCCAGGCCCGGGCAGUCAGCAUUUACUAUAAGUUUCUCAAAUCCAAAGGCCAUUGUGAGCAAGUUCCCUGUCGUCCCCGUAGCCAGUCAUCCCGCAGACAGUAAUAGUCAACUUGAUGUGCAAGCUCACGGUUAUUUGUACAACCAACCAAGAGGAACCAAGAGAAAGUUCGAUGGCUUGUCGCUUGGUCUGGGCAACUCAUCAAACUCAGAUUCCAGCAAGCAGAGUAUGCGUGCUGGCUGCACCAUAUCUUCUCCUAAGGGCAGUGAUGAAGGUUCUUCUGUUGAUUUGGGCUUAAAUUAUCUUACGCUGGGCAGUGAAGGUACUUCCAGGCUGGAUAAGCAGGCUAGUGAUUUUAAGAGAACUUCGGCGAAGGCUGGGCUGGAUCUUGAGUUAUCUUUGUCUGUUGGACCAUGUCAAUCUGCUAUUACUGGCCAAGACCUAACUUCAGCAACCAAACAGAACAGCACAUUUCUGCAGCCAUACAUUAUGGACCUAGUCCCAAGAGUUGACGAAGGUUCUACUUCUCUUCGUCGACCAUCUGGUGGUCAGUUCCUUAAUUUCCUUAAUAAGACUGUAAGGAUGACUGGGUUUUCUCCAAGGCAAGUUUUAUCAGGCAGCUCUAACCAGAGUCAGGGUCCAGCUUCACUGCCAACAUUGCUCCAACUACAAGAAAGUCCAGCAACCUGUACUUCCGGUUCUGUUAGUCCACAACAUCGCAUCAGCAGCACAAAAGUUUGUUCAUAUCCAGGAUGUAGAAAAGGGGCCAGAGGUUCGUCAGGGCGCUGCAUUGCACAUGGUGGGGGGAGAAGGUGCCGUAGAGAGGGAUGCAACAAAGGCGCCGAGGGCAAGACCAUCUACUGUAAAGCUCAUGGAGGGGGACGGCGCUGCGGGCACCUUGGGUGCACCAAGAGCGCUGAAGGCCGUACUGAUUACUGCAUAGGCCAUGGCGGUGGUCGGCGUUGUAUCCAUGACGGCUGCAGAAGAGCAGCAAGAGGGAAAUCUGGCCGCUGCAUCAAACAUGGUGGUGGGAAAAGGUGUCAACAGGAGAACUGCACAAAGAGCGCGGAAGGGCGUUCAGGCUUAUGCAUUGCCCAUGGAGGCGGACCUCGCUGUCAGCAUGCUGGUUGCACGAAGGGCGCCCAGGGAAGUACUGAUUUCUGCAAAUCGCAUGGUGGUGGCAGAAGGUGCACGCACCCUGACUGUACAAAGGGUGCUGAGGGAAGCACGCCAUUCUGCAAAGGGCAUGGAGGAGGCAAACGUUGUUCGGCUCAAGGCUGCACAAAAUGUGUGCACGGAGGUACACAGUUCUGCGUUGCGCAUGGAGGUGGCAAGAGGUGUGUGGUGGAAGGAUGCACCAAGAGCGCUCGAGGUCGUACCGAUCGCUGCGUUGGUCAUGGUGGGGGCAAGAGGUGCAUAACUGCUGGGUGUGAUAAGAGCGCACAGGGAAGCACCGACUUCUGCAAGGCACACGGCGGGGGCAAACGCUGCACGUGGGGCCACCCAGGGUCCGACCUUGGAGCUGGCGGCCCACCCUGUGACCGCCUUGCAAGAGGCAAGAAAGGCAUGUGCGUCCAUCACAACCCGCUCCUGGACGAUGACCGUAUCCACGGUGGUCGAACGCUGGCCGCUUUCAGCAUUACAAGCAGCGCUGCUUCCCUUGAUCGUCGGAGCCACCCUGCAACCUCGGAAACCAGCAGGCGCAGCAUCUCCAUGCUUCCAGUGGAGGCUCCUGGCCGUGCGCCUCUUCCCGAGGGCCGGGUGCACGGCGGCAACAUCGUGUCAAUGUUUGCUAAUGGUCUGAGCUUCGGGGAGGACUCCAGCAACAACGCUGAGGCCAGUACCUCGGCGCCUCGCAGCUCCAAACCUGCCAAGGAAUUCAGCGCCUCUGGUCGCAGCAGCUGGCUCUAG